rnacentral:lncRNA from 1 species
GCCCAUUGUGUGCCAGGCAGUACGCUAGUUUUUUUUUUUCAUUCUUACCUUUUAUCUUAGAAUUACCACUAGGUAGUAGUUCUGCCUGAGUCAUAAAGGUUAGGUCGUGGUGAUUAAGUGCCCUGCCCCACAGCUAGGAAGUGUCUGAAGCAAGAUUUGAACCCAAUACCUCCCAUCUCUAGACCUAAUUCUUGAUUCACUGAGUUACCUAGCUGCCCCUGUGUUAAGUUCUUUAUACAUAUUAUCUCAUUUGAUCCUCAUAACCACCCAGGGAGAUAGGUGCUACUAAUAUCCCCAUUUUAUAGUUCAGGAAACUGAAGCCAACAAAAGAUAAAUGAUUUUGCCCAAGAUCAUACAACUAGCAAGUGUCUAAGGCUAGACUGGAACUCUGAUUUUACCAAUUCUAGACCCAGGGCUCUAUCCAUUUCACACCUAGCUGUUUCACCUCAUAUUCUUUCUCUUCUUGUCAUUCCAUCAUUUCAGUCACGUCCAACUCUUUGUGACCUCAUUUGGAGUUUUCUUGAUAAAGAUACUGGAGUGGUUUGUUAUUUCCUUCUCCAGCUUAUUUUACAGAUGAAGAAACUGAGACAAACAGGGUUAAGUGACUUUCUCAAAGUCACCCAGCUAGUAAGUGACUUAGACUGGAUUUGAACUCAUGUAUUCCUGACUCCAAGACUGGCACUUCUAUUCACUGUACUAUCUAGCUAGUCUCCCACCUACCAAAGGACUAGUGUAUGAGGUCUCUCAGCUCAACCUCAGAAAGAAAAGCAAACUUCAAAGUCUCUCAAUUUCUCCUGACCAGCUCAACUCUCAAAUAGCCCACAAGCUCAAAAGCCAAGUUUUUCCUUCUUGUCAAUUUCAACUGUCCAAAGCCAGAGAACUCCAAAAACGAAGUCAGCCCCAUCAAGGUCUUUCAGCCAGGUUCAAACCUCCAGGGAAAGAGAGUGACUCCAAGUCCAGACCACUCCCUCUGGCCAACUCCAACUGCCAACUCCUGGGAACAGUCCAUUUGGAACUCUGGUUCUUGAUUGACAGAUGAUCUUCAGCCCUGGUUCCUACAUCUUGGCUUAUAAGUUCUCUCUCUCCCCAUGUCUCUAUUACAGAAGGAGGGAUAAAAUGUUUGGAAUAGUGAGUGAAAGAAUAAGGAGAAUAUGUAGCACUAGUAGAAAUGUGUAGGG